rnacentral:rRNA from 1 species
CACGUAGGGGGCAAGCGUUGUCCGGAUUUAUUGGGCGUAAAGAGCUCGUAGGCGGUUCGGUAAGUCGGGUGUUAAACCCCCAGGCUCAACCUGGGGACGCCACUCGAUACUGCUGUGACUAGAGUCCGGUAGGGGAGCGUGGAAUUCCUGGUGUAGCGGUGAAAUGCGCAGAUAUCAGGAGGAACACCAGCGGCGAAGGCGGCGCUCUGGGCCGGUACUGACACUGAGGAGCGAAAGCGUGGGUAGCAAACAGG